UCCCUCUCCCUUCCUCUCUGUAAAAAAAAAUCAAUAAAAUAUAUUUAAAAAAAGAAAAAAAGAAAGAAAAGCAGGUGGUCAGGAGGAAAAGUAAUACUGAAGCUGGCCUCACAGUGCUUGUAGUCUGUGGGCUAGUUUCAAACAAGG
rnacentral:snoRNA from 1 species